rfam:Selaginella moellendorffii unplaced genomic scaffold SELMOscaffold_51, whole genome shotgun sequence.
AUGGUGGCGCAGUUGGUCAGCGCGUAGGUCUCAUAGCUGCUGAGAAAUCCUGAGGUCGAGAGUUUGAGCCUCUCUCAU